rnacentral:rRNA from 1 species
AGCUCCAAUAGCGUAUAUUAAAGUUGUUGCAGUUAAAAAGCUCGUAGUCGGAUUUCGGGGCGGGCGCAGCGGUCUGCCGAUGGGUAUGCACUGUUGGGCGCGUCCUUCUUUCCGGAGACCGCGCCUACUCUUAGCUGAGCGGGCGCGGGAGACGGAUCGUUUACUUUGAAAAAUCAGAGUGUUUCAAGCAGGCAGCUCGCUCUUGCAUGGAUUAGCAUGGGAUAAUGAAAUAGGACUCUGGUGCUUAUUUUGUUGGUUUCGAACACUGGAGUAAUGAUUAACAGGGACAGUCAGGGGUACUCGUAUUCCGUCGAGAGAGGUGAAAUUCUCAGACCAAUGG